AGGUGAAAGUCGAAAACAACAAAGUUUAUGUGUCUGUAAAGAAAAGGAUCCAGGGUCAGCCUAAACGUAUCAAAUGGAUGGGAGCCAGAGAUCAAGCGGUGUUACAUACUGUCAUGCUCCUUGGAGGAGGCGCAGCCUCUUUAAUGUGUGCUGAGACACUACGGCAAGAAAACUACGGUGGCAGGAUUAUUAUGGUAUCUAGAGAUGACCUCCUUCCAUACGACAAAACCAGACUCAGCAAGGUGA